rnacentral:rRNA from 1 species
AGUGAACGCUGGCGGUAGGCCUAACACAUGCAAGUCGAACGGCAGCACAGUAAGCGCUUGCCCUUACGGGUGGCGAGUGGCGGAUGGGUGAGGAAUACAUCGGCAUCUACUUUUUCGUGGGGGAUAACGGGGGGAAACGUACGCUAAUACAGCAUACGACCUACGGGUGAAAGCAGGAGAUCUAGGGAGCUUGGGCGACUGAAUGAGACGAUGUCGGAUUAGCUAGUUGGCGGGGUAAAGGCACACCAAGGCAACGAUCCGUAGCUGAGCUGAGAGGAUGAUCGGCCACACUGGAACUGAGACACGGUCCAGACUCCUACGGGAGGCAGCAGUGGGGAAUAUUCGACAAUGGGCGCAAGCCUGACCCAGCCAUGCCGCGUGAGUGAAGAAGGCCUUCGGGUUGUAAAGCUCUUUUGUUGGGAAAGAAAAGCAGCAGGUUUAUCCCCCGCUGUUCUGACGGUACCCAAAGAAAAAGCACCGGCUAACUUCGUG